AGGUUACGCCCACUCUCAGGUGUUGGUGGAGCCAAGCUUCGCCAGUGAAACGGGAAGUCGGUGAGCAAUUCUCGCGAUUCCGACGCUGCCCCCGCAACGGUGAUCGAGUCAAGGAAAACCCAGUGCCACUGUGCUGCCGCACGGGAAGGCGGUUUUCCGGGACGUGCCAACGUCCACUCGUCAGUCCGGAGACCGGCCUGGAGAGGCAUGCCUGG
rnacentral:ncRNA from 2 species